GGUCCAAAUUUGAAGUAAAGUAGAUUAUAAGGAUUAGCUGACCAUACUAAUCUACACUACUUCAAGUUUGUGCCC
rnacentral:pre_miRNA from 1 species